rnacentral:rRNA from 1 species
UACGGAGGGUGCAAGCAUUGAUCGGAAUUACUGGGCGUAAAGGGCGCGUAGGCGGCUGAGGAAGUCAGAUGUGAAAUUCCGGGGCUCAACCCCGGAGCUGCAUUUGAAACUCCUUGGCUAGAGAGCAGUUAGGGUAAACGGAAUUCCACGUGUAGCGGUGAAAUGCGUAGAUAUGUGGAAGAACACCGGUGGUGAAGACGGUUUACUGGGCUGCGACUGACGCUGAGGCGCGAAAGCAUGGGGAGCAAAC